rnacentral:piRNA from 1 species
UCAAGAUUUACAUGAAACCGGGCAUUGA